GACGAACGCUGGCGGCGCGCUUAACACAUGCAAGUCGAACGGAAAGGCCUGCUUUCCCUUGUGGAUUGCGGGUACUCGAGUGGCGAACGGGUGAGUAACACGUGAGUGAUCUGCCCCCAACUUGGGUAUAAGCCUGGGAAACUGGGUCUAAUUCCCGAUAGGACUGCAGGGUGGUGCCUGUGGUGGAAAACGAUUUUCUAGUGGUUGGGGAUGAGCUCGCGGCCUAUCAGCUUGUUGGUGGGGUAAUGGCCUACCAAGGCGGCGACGGGUAGCCGGCCUGGGAGGGUGGACGGCGACAUUGGGACUGGGACACGGCCCAGACGCCUACGGGAGGCAGCAGUGGGGAAUAUUGCACAAUGGGCGGAAGGGUGAUGCAGCGACGCAGCGUGGGGGAUGACGGCCUUCGGGUUGUAUACUCCUUUCGACCGCGAGGAAGCCACCUGGUUGGAAGGGUGGUGACGGUAGUGGUAGAAGAAGCACCGGCUAACUACGUG
rnacentral:rRNA from 1 species